AGAGCCAAGAGCCUGGGUGACUCCUGCCUGCCCACACAAUUCCUCUCGCAGGUGGCUCUCUGUUGCCGGCUUCCAUAGGCUAGCCCCCACUCCACCCCAGACUCUAGACCGGACCGCUCCAGAUUUAGCAGUUGAGGCCCUUUAAAAGCCUCACAGCUGCCUCGCUGCGGGCAGCCUUCCUGGGAAAUGUAGUCUCCUGAGUGAAGCUUCGCAGCUUCCCCGGGCUGUUUUGCUACUGGCCAAAAAGGGGCUUUGCUACCACCUUGGAUUACUGUGACAGAGAAACGAAACCUUGUGUGAAAAACGUAUCCAUCGCAUCAGAGUGGGAACCAGGAUCUUAUCCGGCUUACAAUGCUCUUGACUGUAACAUCUGCAAGGGACACACGGGAGCCCUGAAAGGCCUGGUGUCUCUACAGGGAGGAUGACUCUUCAGCCACUGUCCUUUGCUUCUGUCUCCCGGUUUACUUGCGAAUGUUUAUUGUGAUGAGUCUUGUUGAGGCCUCUAGUUUCUGCUACACCAUCAAUAUUGAACUCUUGUGGAGACUCCUCUCAGAUAUUUGGUUGUAGCCCAGAGUCAUGGAGACCCUGCAGGUAUGGUUCCGCGGGACUGACCACUUCGCAUUCUCCAGCGGCUCUCAAAUGUUAGGGCGAGCCAACUCCAAGGAUCUGGGCCUGGGUGGGUGGUAGCUGAGUUGGUGUAGUGGCAGCCGAGUGGAGUUGUGGGGCAGCUCAGCACGGCCCACGGACAUCCGUGUAGCCUUCCAUGGUAACGUGAGCCACAGACAUCACCACCGCCUCUGUCUGGAUCUGGACCACUGACCCACUCACAGCCCUCAGCAGGACUUUAAGCCUCAUCGUGGUUUCAGAUGGCUACACAAGCAUCAGCGUGGCCCCCCUGAGGCAGCAAAGCCUGAGGACAUCACCACAUCUUCAGUCAGAGGCACAGAGCUUACAUCCCCGUGGACCUCAGACUUCAUCCUGGCCUGGGGCAGCAGCAUGGACCACAGACACCAGCAUGGCCUCUGGUGACAUCAUGGACCAUGGUGGUCCUUCCAGGAGGUCCAAUCCAGACAUUGAACUUUUCCUCAUCUCAGGCCUCCAUCAUUGAACAGAGCCAGGAUGAUCCUGUGACCUGACUGGGUGGCAGGUUCGGGACCUGAGUCUGCAGCUGCACAAGCUCCAGGAUGCUGCACAGCACCCUGCACACCUUACUGCGCUAUGACGGCAGGUUAACCCUCUCUCUUCCCUAUCACCACGUCUCCAGUUCUGCCUCCCUCCAUAGAGCACACACCGCUGUUUUCUGUCUUUCCCAUCUCCCCAUCACAUAUGAUCAUCACAGUGGCCUUUUCCCCAAGGAAAUGAAUUUUUGUUUUGUUUUGUUUUGUUUUGUUUUGUUUUGUUUUGUUGGUUUUUCGAGACAGGGUUUCUCUUUAUAGCUCUGGCUGUCUUGGAGCUCACUUUGUAGACCAGGCUGGCCUCGAACUCAGAAAUCCGCCUGCCUCUGCCUCCCCAGUGCAGGGAUUAAAGGCGUGCGCCACCACACCUGGCAAGGAAAUGAAUUUUAUGGAGAAAUAAAUAAUAAAGAGAAUUCUGACGCUGGGCAGUGGUGGCACACACCUUUAAUCCCAGCAUAUGGGAGUCAGAGAGGCAGAAAGAUCUUUGAGUUUGAGGCCAGCCUAGUCUUUGGAGUGAGUUUGGGGACAGGCAGUGCUACACAGAGAACCCAAAAAGAAAAAGAGAGAGAGAAUUCAGAAACGCAACUGUUACCACUGUCCUCCAGCUAGAAGCAGUUAAGUAGAGCAAGGCCUCUCCUAGUGUGAGCACCUGCAGGAGCAGGCAGCCCGAUCCACAGCAGGACUGGGAUGCUCUAGGCCACACACUGGGCCUGGCUGCUGUCAAGAGACAGGUCUACUUGGUCCCCAAACACAGAUGGUGUCACUCCCUGUAGGCGUCCCAGAGAUGCUUGGUGCUGGCCCUGGGUGCUGUGGGGUAAGGGGGCGGGUGUGUAAGAAUGGACCCCAUUCACCAGGGCUUCUUUGCAAAGGUUCAGGGCUCUUUCCCUGCUGGCCUUGAAGGCCUCAGAACAAACCUGAGGAUGUAAUACUGGUGGAUAGAUGGGACUCCCAAGCUGGGCGGUGGUGGCGCAUGCCUUUAAUCCCAGCACUUGGGAGGCAGAGGCAGGCAGAUUUCUGAGUUCGAGGCCAGCCUGGUCUACAAAGUGA
rnacentral:lncRNA from 1 species